rnacentral:misc_RNA from 1 species
UUAUAAGGGGAGAUUUAAGGCAGAAAGAGGGGGAAACCGAUUGAAUUUCGAAUUCUCUUCAAGGGAUAAGGCUGCCAGCUCGAAUGAGUACAAGUCUCAAAAAGAAUAAUGAUGAAGUUGCUUGAUUCUCGAGCAAGGAGGAGUGAGAUGCAAAGAUGGAGACACCUCAGGAUUUGAGUACAAGUAGAUAAGGACAAUAGGAG